CUACGGGUUGCUCCAGUGGGGAAUAUUGCACAAUGGGGGGAACCCUGAUGCAGCAACGCCGCGUGGAGGAUGACGCAUUUCGGUGUGUAAACUCCUUUUAUAUGUCAAGAAAAUGACGGUAGCAUAUGAAUAAGCACCGGCUAACUCCGUGCCAGCAGCCGCGGUAAUACGGAGGGUGCAAGCGUUACUCGGAAUCACUGGGCGUAAGGGACGCGUAGGCGGGUUGGAAAGUCAGGUGUGAAAUCCUACAGCUUAACUGUAGAACUGCACUUGAAACUUCUAAUCUAGAGUAUGGGAGGGGGAGAUGGAAUUAGUGGUGUAGGGGUAAAAUCCGUAGAUAUCACUAGGAAUACCUAAAGCGAAGGCGAUCUCCUGGAACAUUACUGACGCUAAGGCGUGAAAGCGUGGGGAGCAAACAGGAUUAGAUACCCGGGUAGUC
rnacentral:rRNA from 1 species